rnacentral:lncRNA from 1 species
AUGCUGCUGUAUUCGAUUCUAUUCUGCUCUGUUCUAUUAUAUUCUGCUCUAUUGUAUUGUGCUUUAUUUCAUUUAUUCUGUUCUGCUCUAUCCAGUUCUGUGCUGCUCUAUUCUAUUAUGCUUUAUUCUACUUUCUACUGUAUUUUAUUAUAUGCUGCUCUAUUCUAUUGUGCUGUAUUUUAUUCAGUUCUGCUCUAUUCUAUUAUAUUCCUGUCUACUCUAUUAUAUUCUACUCUAUUCUGUUAUAUUCUGCACUAUUCGAAUAUCUUCUGCUCUAUACUAUUGUGCUCUAUUCUAUUAUGCUGUAUUCCAUUAUAUUGUGCUGUAUUUUAUUCUAUUUUAUGCUUUAUACUGUGUUUUUUUUUCAGUUCUGCUCUAUUGUAUUACAUUUCAGUCUACUCUAUUAUAUUCUGCACUAUUCCAUUCUCUUCUGCUCUAUUCUAUUCUUUUGUGCUCUAUUCUAUUUUGGUUUAUUCUAAUAUAUUCUGCUGUAUUCUGUUAUGGUCUGAUCUACUAGAUUCUAUUCUAUUCUAUUUGAUUCUCUUCUGCUCUAUUCUAUUGUGCUUUAUUCAAUUCUGUGCUGCUCUCUUCUAUUCUAUUGUGCUCCAUUUCAUCUGUUAUUCUACUCUAUUCAAUCCGAUACAGAACUAUUCUGUCAUAUUGUGCUCAGUUCUAUGCUGCUUUAUUCUAUUAUGCCUUAUUCUAUUAUAUUGUGCUGUUAUUUUACUAUAUACCGCUGUAUUCUAUUGUGCUCUGUUCUAUUAUAUUCUGCUCUAUUGUAUUGUGCUUUUUCAUUUAUUCUGUUCUGCUCUAUUCAGUUCUGUGCUGCUCUAUUCUAUUCUGUUGUGCUCUAUUCUAUUAUGCUUCAUUCUACUUUAUUGUGCUUUAUUUUAUUAUAUGCUGCUCUAUUUUAUUGUGCUGUAUUUUAUUCAGUUCUGCUAUAUUCUAUUAUAUUCCUAUCUACUCUAUUAUAUUCUACUCUAUUCUGUUAUAUUCUGCACUAUUAGAUUAUCUUCUGCUCUAUUCUAUUAUGCUAUAUUCCAUUAUAUUGUGCUGUAUUUUAUUCUAUUCUUCUUUAUACUGUUUUAUUCAGUUCUGCUCUAUUGUAUUAUAUUUCAGUCUACUCUAUUAUAUUCUACUCUAUUCUGUUAUAUUCUGCACUAUUCCAUUCUCUUCUGCUCUAUUCUAUUCUUUUGUGCUCUAUUCUAUUUUGGUUUAUUCUAA